UCCUUGGCAGGGACUGGGAAGCAUAAAAACAAGAUUCCCACCCCUCCCUUUUAAAAGAAAAACUUAGUCUGUUUUGUUUUUAUUCUUUUUUGCUUUAAAGAGUAAGGGCUGCACACUCGGCUCCGUUUUGCAAAUUAGACUUCAGACCCCUCCUCCUGUCUCAGGGCUUAUUCAGUGGAAACAUCUACCCAGGGGACGCUCUCCCCUUCUCCCCUCCCCAAAACCCUGACCGCCGGCUUGGCUUUGCCUUCUCGUUGUUGGCAUGUUCAUAUAUAUAUGUAUUUUUUCCCGCGUCCAGACAGCCUCAGCUGGGGUUCCCGAAGGUCAGAAAAUGGCUAUUGAUUAAUCUAUUAGAAUAGUUGCCGAGUGAAAUAAAAACGACGUAAAAUAACAGGGAACCUAUAAAUAAAGAAGCCAUAACUAGCUGCUCCGGAGUUGUUAAACAACUUAGCAUGUGGGGGGAAAAAAUCGGAAAUGAAGUGCCGGGAAGGAGCCGGGAUUGGCAGCGGCCUGGACUUAGAGAAACCUUCCAAGACGUAACUUCCUCGGCAGUCGGCAGCAGGACAGGUGGAGGAUGCAGACCGUGCAUGCCGAGUGUCCUUGGCAAGGAAAGACAGUGAUGCUGCACAGCUGUGUGGCCCGCAGGCUUUCGAACCGUUUACAAUGCCUUCUGAACAGCCUCCCGCGAAAACGGCCAGAGUGUGAGCUGGCUGCCCACUACCCACAGAUGCAGGGGUCGUGGCUGCAACUGUCCGAGUAACCCAAACACCACAACAGGAAGCUCGGGAGGACAAAAAAGAAAACCGAAAUUUACAAAUUCAGGAAUUCCUUUUCAUCGGCGGCGGUACCCAGCCCCAGUGGUUGGCUGGGGCCGCCGCAGCGCAAGCCACCGUGCGCCUAGGAGGCUGGGCCGGCGCGAACCAGUGCACGUGUGUGUGUGCGCGCACGGGAGGGUGGCGGCUUCGGGGGCCGCCCUCCGCAGUCUUCUGGAGGUUGCGUCUCAAUGAGCCUAAUUUGGAUUCCGCUGUCCCGCCCGGGCUGGCUCGCAGGAUUCCCUGGGCGAUGCUGGUCGCUGCCUCUCACCUCCCCGGCCAAGACCGAGACGGAACCGUCCAUUCCCCGGUGCCUCUUUGUAACCUCCCUGGGGGAAAGCGGGGGCUGAACAACUCCCAGCCGCCAGUUCCAUUUGUUGCGCUUUUUUCCUUCGACACAAUAAAAGUCAA